GUAGGUGAACCUGCGGAAGGAUCAUCAACAACUACGUGUUUUACACGUAUACCUUUUUACCCCCAUGAACUUUUCUACUAAUUUUAAAAGUACUCUUUGAGAAACGAAGGCGCUUGUUUUCUUGAUAGAAAUGCUGUCUCUUUUUCCUUCGGGCAAAAGAUGCCAUCUUUCUUUCAAAAAGCAAUGUGCUUUCUUUCGAGAAGGUUUACUUUAUCCAAAUGUUAUACAACUCUUAGCAACGGAUAUCUCGGUUCUC
rnacentral:misc_RNA from 1 species